CAGGGACACUAGUAUCCAGUCUGGAGGGUUGGCUUGCAUGUUAUGUUACAGCUGACCCUCAUCUCAACUCUAACCCCUGACCCCUGGAGCUAUCUGUCAUGACAGGACAGGACAGUGGGCUGCUGGUUAACUCAACAUGGAGACUGAGAGGGAGAGAGUGAGAGAGAGAGGGGGGGGAACAGGGCACCAAAACAGCAGACAGAGGUCUCAUUUAUCCUCCUCUCACUGUGUCCUUUUCUAUUUUUUCUCUCCAUCCCUCCUCUUUUGUUUUCACAGCAGUGAAGAAACGGUUGCCUUUUCCUCCCCUUUCUCCUCCUUUUCUUUUCUCCCCUUCUUUUCAUGGUGGUGGCAGGCGCACUUUGGCCAUCCCAGGUACUGGCUGGAAACAGUGAGGAUUCUGGGAGAUGGUGAGAUGAGGCUUUAAUGAGAAUGAGGCCUUCCCAGCUGGAGACAAAAAUAUAUGCAAAUGAGAUGUGUGAGCCAAGAGGACACUGGGAUGAAGAACGUGUGGCAAGCAGCAAGGGGUGAACUCCAGCUGACUACGGUCGCCUCCAAGGAGAGGAAGACGAUCUGACGAAUGGGAAUGACAGGGAGGGGAGGGGACACACACGGCCCCGCCUGCCGUCUGUCCUAGCAGCCCUGAUGACUUCUCCCUUGAUAAUCAGCUGCUAUGGGCCAGGGAUAAUUCACCUGUCAAUGCCACCUACUGAGACUGGAACAAGGAUGGAACAUGGAUACACCAUUCCACCAACGCCAAAACGGUGUCAUUCAUUUAGACAAAGACCAUGGGAAAAAUGGGAAUGUGAGAGGAAAGAGAUUGGGCGACAGAUAGAGAGCGAGAGUGAGACAGACAGAGAGAGAGACAGAGAGAGAGAGGAAGAGAGAGAGAGACAAAGAGAGAGAGACAGAGAGAGAGCGAGAGAGAGAGACAGAGAGAUAGACAGGGACAGAGAGAGACAGAGAGAUAAAGAGAGAGAGAGAGACAGAGAGAGAACAGAGAGAGAGAGAGAGACAAAGAGAGAGAGAGAGAGAGAGAGAGAGAGAGAGAGAGACAGAGAGAUAAAGAGAGACAGAGAGAGACAGAGAGAUAAAGAGAGAGAGAGAGAGAGAGAGAGAGAGAGAGAGAGAGAGAGAGAGAGAGAGAGAGAGAUAAAGAGAGAGAGAGAGAGAGAUGCAUUUCCUCCAGGUUAUUUUGUUUAAAAGAAUAAAAGAAUGGAACUAAAAAACGAGAAUAACUUUACAAAUUCCACAGUGGCAACAUGUGUGUUGGAAAGUGUUUAAAUGGAAAUAAACAUGUUCUCAUUCUGAGUAAUGUACAGCAACGAUUUUAGUUUAUUUUAUGAAUUUGAGACUCAAUAAAUUCCAGUUUAAAUAAUGAA